UUUAUGGAGAGUUUGAUCCUGGCUCAGGAUGAACGCUGGCGGCGUGCCUAAUACAUGUAAGUCGAGCGAACGGACGAGAAGCUUGCUUCUCUGAUGUUAGCGGCGGACGGGUGAGUAACACGUGGAUAACCUACCUAUAAGACUGGGAUAACUUCGGGAAACCGGAGCUAAUACCGGAUAAUAUU
rnacentral:rRNA from 1 species